CAGCCGCCACGGAAUACGGAGGGAGCUAGCGUUGUUCGGAAUUACUGGGCGUAAAGCGCACGUAGGCGGUUAUUCAAGUCAGAGGUGAAAGCCCGGGGCUCAACCCCGGAACUGCCUUUGAAACUAGAUGACUGGAAUCUUGGAGAGGUCAGUGGAAUUCCGAGUGUAGAGGUGAAAUUCGUAGAUAUUCGGAAGAACACCAGUGGCGAAGGCGACUGACUGGACAAGUAUUGACGCUGAGGUGCGAAAGCGUGGGGAGCAAACAGGAUUAGAUACCCGGGUAGUCCCUGUCUCUUAUACA
rnacentral:rRNA from 1 species